rnacentral:rRNA from 1 species
GAUGAACGCUGGCGGCGUGCCUAAUACAUGCAAGUCGAGCGAACAGACGAGGAGCUUGCUCCUCUGACGUUAGCGGCGGACGGGUGAGUAACACGUGGAUAACCUACCUAUAAGACUGGGAUAACUUCGGGAAACCGGAGCUAAUACCGGAUAAUAUAUUGAACCGCAUGGUUCAAUAGUGAAAGACGGUUUUGCUGUCACUUAUAGAUGGAUCCGCGCCGCAUUAGCUAGUUGGUAAGGUAACAGCUUACCAAGGCAACGAUGCGUAGCCGACCUGAGAGGGUGCUCGGCCCCACUGGCACUGGGACACGGUCCAGCCUCCUACGGGAGGCCGCCGUAGGGAAUCUUCCGCAAUGGGCGACAGCCUGACGGAGCAACGCCGCGUGAGUGAUGAAGGUCUUCGGAUCGUAAAACUCUGUUAUUAGGGAAGAACAAAUGUGUAAGUAACUAUGCACGUCUUGACGGUACCUAAUCAGAAAGCCACGGCUAACUACGUG